UACAGGUUUUGGAGCAAAGGAAUAGUC
rnacentral:piRNA from 1 species